ncrna:unclassified sequences Hairpin-meta1 ribozyme sequence
CAGCUGUCCUUAACUAGGGAAGCUGCUUGGUGAAACACUUUUGUGUUGGUAUCCUUUAAGGACCCCUACAAAAGGCAAAUUAUCCAAG